rnacentral:rRNA from 1 species
UGGGGAAUAUUGGACAAUGGGCGCAAGCCUGAUCCAGCCAUACCGCGUGGGUGAAGAAGGCCUUCGGGUUGUAAAGCCCUUUUGUUGGGAAAGAAAUCCAGCUGGCUAAUACCCGGUUGGGAUGACGGUACCCAAAGAAUAAGCACCGGCUAACUUCGUGCCAGCAGCCGCGGUAAUACGAAGGGUGCAAGCGUUACUCGGAAUUACUGGGCGUAAAGCGUGCGUAGGUGGUCGUUUAAGUCCGUUGUGAAAGCCCUGGGCUCAACCUGGGAACUGCAGUGGAUACUGGGCGACUAGAGUGUGGUAGAGGGUAGCGGAAUUCCUGGUGUAGCAGUGAAAUGCGUAGAGAUCAGGAGGAACAUCCAUGGCGAAGGCAGCUACCUGGACCAACACUGACACUGAGGCACGAAAGCGUGGGGAGCAAAACAGGAUUAGAUACCCUGGUAGUCCACGCCCUAAAACGAUGCCGAAACUGGAUGUUGGGUGCAAUUUGGCAGCGCAUGUAUCGAAGCUAACGCGUUAAGUUCGCCGCCUGGGAGUACGGUCGCAAGACUG